rnacentral:rRNA from 1 species
UUUUGGUUAAGCUAUAAAGAGCGCAGGGUGGAUGCCUUGGCACUAAGAGCCGAUGAAAGACGUGAUAAGCUGCGAAAAGCUUCGGGGAGGAGCAAAUAUCCUUUGAUCCGGAGAUAUCUGAAUGGGGAAACCU